CCGUUCGCCACGCCCGCUCAAGAAACUACGAAAGGAAUUGACGGGGCCCGCACAAGCGGUGGAGUAUGUGGUUUAAUUCGAUGCAACGCGAAGAACCUUACCUGGUCUUGACAUCCCGGAGACCCUUAGGAGACUAGGGGGUGCUUCCAUCUGGAAGAAUCUGGAGACAGGUGCUGCAUGGCUGUCGUCAGCUCGUGUCGUGAGAUGUUGGGUUAAGUCCCGCAACGAGCGCAACCCUUGCCUUUAGUUGCCAGCAGUUCGGCUGGGCACUCUAAAGGGACUGCCGGUGUUAAACCGGAGGAAGGUGGGGAUGACGUCAAGUCCUCAUGGCCUUUAUGACCAGGGCUACACACGUACUACAAUGGCCGAUACAAAGGGCAGCGACACUACGAGGUGAAGCCAAUCCCGUAAAAUCGGUCUCAGUCCGGAUUGGAGUCUGCAACUCGACUCCAUGAAGUUGGAAUCGCUAGUAAUCGUGGAUCAGCAUGCCACGGUGAAUACGUUCCCGGGCCUU
rnacentral:rRNA from 1 species